UGGCGAACGGGUGAGUAACACGUGAGUAACCUGCCCUUAACUCUGGGAUAAGCCUGGGAAACUGGGUCUAAUACCGGAUAGGAGCGUCCACCGCAUGGUGGGUGUUGGAAAGAUUUAUCGGUUUUGGAUGGACUCGCGGCCUAUCAGCUUGUUGGUGAGGUAAUGGCUCACCAAGGCGACGACGGGUAGCCGGCCUGAGAGGGUGACCGGCCACACUGGGACUGAGACACGGCCCAGACUCCUACGGGAGGCAGCAGUGGGGAAUAUUGCACAAUGGGCGCAAGCCUGAUGCAGCGACGCCGCGUGAGGGAUGACGGCCUUCGGGUUGUAAACCUCUUUCAGUAGGGAAGAAGCGAAAGUGACGGUACCUGCAGAAGAAGCACCGGCUAACUACGUGCCAGCAGCCGCGGUAAUACGUAGGGUGCGAGCGUUAUCCGGAAUUAUUGGGCGUAAAGAGCUCGUAGGCGGUUUGUCGCGUCUGUCGUGAAAGUCCGGGGCUUAACCCCGGGAUCUGCGGUGGGUACGGGCAGACUAGAGUGCAGUAGGGGAGACUGGAAUUCCUGGUGUAGCGGUGGAAUGCGCAGAUAUCAGGAGGAACACCGAUGGCGAAGGCAGGUCUCUGGGCUGUAACUGACGCUGAGGAGCGAAAGCAUGGGGAGCGAACAGGAUUAGAUACCCUGGUAGUCCAUGCCGUAAACGUUGGGCACUAGGUGUGGGGACCAUUCCACGGUUUCCGCGCCGCAGCUAACGCAUUAAGUGCCCCGCCUGGGGAGUACGGCCGCAAGGCUAAAACUCAAAGGAAUUGACGGGGGCCCGCACAAGCGGCGGAGCAUGCGGAUUAAUUCGAUGCAACGCGAAGAACCUUACCAAGGCUUGACAUGUUCUCGAUCGCCGUAGAGAUACGGUUUCCCCUUUGGGGCGGGUUCACAGGUGGUGCAUGGUUGUCGUCAGCUCGUGUCGUGAGAUGUUGGGUUAAGUCCCGCAACGAGCGCAACCCUCGUUCCAUGUUGCCAGCACGUAAUGGUGGGGACUCAUGGGAGACUGCCGGGGUCAACUCGGAGGAAGGUGAGGACGACGUCAAAUCAUCAUGCCCCUUAUGUCUUGGGCUUCACGCAUGCUACAAUGGCCGGUACAAUGGGUUGCGAUACUGUGAGGUGGAGCUAAUCCCAAAAAGCCGGUCUCAGUUCGGAUUGGGGUCUGCAACUCGACCCCAUGAAGUCGGAGUCGCUAGUAAUCGCAGAUCAGCAACGCUGCGGUGAAUACGUUCCCGGGCCUUGUACACACCGCCCGUCAAGUCACGAAAGUUGGUAACACCCGAAGCCGGUGGCCUAACCC
rnacentral:rRNA from 1 species